AAUUCUUCCUAUUCGGGAAGGAUGAGAAGCUUCGACCAAGGUUCGAUUCGAGCGUUAGCGAGAAAGCGUUGCCGCAGGCAACGACCCGAAGGGCGAAGCGCGCAGCGCACAGCGCUGAGUAAUCCUUCCCCCACCACCA
rnacentral:sRNA from 1 species